AUGGGAGUAUUCCACAUCACAACAUCAUGUAGAGCACUGGGAGUUAUAGAGUUCACUCUCAACUUCAGUGGAUCGUGGAUAGUCCCAGGUGCCUGGUUAUCAGAAGAGAAGAAGAAACUACAAUUCCCAGAGGAAUUUCAAUAUUCUGUUGCCAUUUUCCAUUUAGAGCGAAAGAUAAAAACUGUUCGCGUAUCACAAGAUGUCCCUUUUUGCCUUCACUUCCCACCAGCUCAUUUUGGCAGCUUCUCACUGCCAGCUCUCUCUCAUUUUAUUAGAUUUAUUAGCUUCAGUUUUAAUUAUAUGUUAUUAUACUGUGCUAUUCUGCAUUCCGAUAUCUUAUUUAGUAAAUUUGUUUCUCCUCAGAUUGUUAUGGCUGUUUUGUUUUUUGCCCAUCUCCCUACCCUUUUUCCCUUUUCCCUUUCCCUGGUCUUGGAUCCGUUGGUCUCUGGCCCCAUUAGUCAUGGAACAGGGCCGAACCUGCCUGUAAACCGUAGACAUAUGGUCAUGCUCCAGGACAUCAAUCUGUUUCUUGCAGUGAGGGGCCCAAAAGUGAAAACCGUACUAAAGGUGUGGCCUCACUGAGACUAAGUGCGUGGCAACAGUCACAUCUCUUUUCCUUUUUGCUACACUCUUUCUGAUAUAAGCCAGGAUGCCACUGGCCUGCUUGGUUACUUAAGCAGACUGGUUGCUCAUGUUCAGUUAAGCAUCCACCAUUCCUUUUCCACUUCCUGCUACUCUGCAUCAAUCCAGUAGCAAUGCCUGGGUUUGAGUCCAAAGUGCAGGACUCAGCACCUGCUCUUGUUGAACAUCGUCCCAUUAGCCUCAGCCCAGUGAUCCAGCCUGUCCAGAUCCAUCUGAAGGGCCUUGAUACCCUCAGGCAGAUCAAUACUUUCCCCCAACUUGGUACAAUUUACAAGCUUACUGAGGGUGCAUCCAAUCCCCUCAGGCAGAUCAUCAAUUAAGAUACUAAACAGGACAGGCCCCAAUACUGACCUUGAAGGAACUCAAUCCAUGAUUUGUCACCAGUUGAAUUUUACUCCAUAGACUUCUUUCUGGACCUUGCCCUUCAGCCACUUCAUUACACAACUAUAAAGAACUGUACAGAAGACGGUACCUGUCCAAGCCACGGUCUGCUAGCUUAUGCAGGAGAAUACUUUGGUAGACAAUGCCAAAGGCUUUUCUAAGUCUAGGUAAACAACAGCAAGAGCCUUUCCUCAUCCACCAGAUGUGUCGGCCAGUCAUGGAAGGAGAUGAGUUUGAUGAAGAAGGAUCUGACUCUCAUAGUAAUCAAUCUGUGCUUUGGAAAUUGAAUAUUCAGCUACUUUCCAGGCUUUUCCAGAGUACUCAUCUAUUGAACAACUCUAUUGAAUUGUUUUAUUGGCUUAUUUGAAAAGGAUUGAGACAGUAGAUUUAUUUUUUCAAUACUUUGUACAGUUUUGGUACUGAAAAAAAUUAUGUGUAAUGGUAGCCUUGAAAAUAAUUACGUGCAUUACAACAAUCAAAUGUAUGAAACAUUCUCAAUGGUUAUGUUAUCAACAUUCUGCUUCUAAUAAACUCAUUGAAAUACUAGAUAUUAUAUUGUCU
ensembl:lncRNA